GAGGAACUCCACAAGAGUCUCAAGGAAAGUAUAGCAAACACUAGGAAAUUGUUUGAAGAAAGGGAGGAGCUCACUCGCAAGUUUAAUGUGGAGAAGAUUGAACUGGAGAAAGUUUUGGUCGACGCCCAGGAAGAUGAAGCUGCUCUCGACAUGCUUCGUGAGGACUCGGAGCAAGCGGAAUCAGAAGCACUGGCAUGCAGGGAGAGGGACUUGGCAUUGCAGGCUGAAGAAACGGAUCUUAGAAGGGCGCAAGAAGAAUUUCAGAAGAGGAUCGAAGAGAUAGAACAUGAGUAUGAUAUGGCUCUACAGCCAACGUUGCU